GGACUGCGGGUGCUUACACAUGCAGUCGAACGAUGAAACCGCUUCGGUGGUGGAUUAGUGGCGAACGGGUGAGUAACACGUGGGCAAUCUGCCCUUCACUCUGGGACAAGCCCUGGAAACGGGGUCUAAUACCGGAUAAUACUCCUGCCUGCAUGGGUGGGGGUUGAAAGCUCCGGCGGUGAAGGAUGAGCCCGCGGCCUAUCAGCUUGUUGGUGGGGUAAUGGCCUACCAAGGCGACGACGGGUAGCCGGCCUGAGAGGGCGACCGGCCACACUGGGACUGAGACACGGCCCAGACUCCUACGGGAGGCAGCAGUGGGGAAUAUUGCACAAUGGGCGAAAGCCUGAUGCAGCGACGCCGCGUGAGGGAUGACGGCCUUCGGGUUGUAAACCUCUUUCAGCAGGGAAGAAGCGCAAGUGACGGUACCUGCAGAAGAAGCGCCGGCUAACUACGUGCCAGCAGCCGCGGUAAUACGUAGGGCGCAAGCGUUGUCCGGAAUUAUUGGGCGUAAAGAGCUCGUAGGCGGCUUGUCACGUCGGAUGUGAAAGCCCGGGGCUUAACCCCGGGUCUGCAUUCGAUACGGGCUAGCUAGAGUGUGGUAGGGGAGAUCGGAAUUCCUGGUGUAGCGGUGAAAUGCGCAGAUAUCAGGAGGAACACCGGUGGCGAAGGCGGAUCUCUGGGCCAUUACUGACGCUGAGGAGCGAAAGCGUGGGGAGCGAACAGGAUUAGAUACCCUGGUAGUCCACGCCGUAAACGUUGGGAACUAGGUGUUGGCGACAUUCCACGUCGUCGGUGCCGCAGCUAACGCAUUAAGUUCCCCGCCUGGGGAGUACGGCCGCAAGGCUAAAACUCAAAGGAAUU
rnacentral:rRNA from 1 species